rnacentral:lncRNA from 1 species
UCUCUUUUCCAAACACAACAAACUCACCGCCACACACUGCCCUUCCUGCGACCUUGAAUCCAGAGACCACCAGGCCCAAAAGCCACCUGGAGGAUUUCACUACUGUCUCUGUGGUGGUCAGAAGGGCUGAGAGCAGAACGCAGGAGCCAGAAGACAAUGUCAGAACCCCUUGGAACUGGAGUUACAGACAGUUCCUGGGCCUUGAACUCAUAUCGCGAAGCUUAGAAGUGAGCGCCCUUACAGGCUGAGCCACCUCUGGAUCCUACUGAACAUAUUUAAACAGUGUGUAUCUGCACUGGAGUCUUGGUGAGGAGUCACAGAGAGCAGCUCCUGCCAUUCCGUGCCUGCAGAGCCUCCUGGCAGCUGCUGGGAACUGGCAAUCCCCACCUUCCUCCUGGGCUGGUUUGAUAUGGGGUAAGGCCAGCACCCAGAUGUCCUCUCCUUGGGAAAAGCCCUGAUCCGCCCAUGUGCCUGGAUGACAAAGCCACACACAGCAGCUGCAGGAUAACAGUUACAGCUCUUCAGUCUGGGGAGGGCUGUGACCGUCUGAGGUUUCACAACAGGUCUGAAGGACAAGCUGAAGUAUGAACCCAGAUGCCUAGACUUGAGGUUCAAAGCAGCCUCAAGGCUCCAGUCUCCCAGGGACUUAAAGCUGUUUCUUGUCAACAACAUUGCCCAGAAGCAGCUCGGAUGCAGACUGCACGUAUACAGGUGCCCAGGACAGUCAGAGUCUUUCACAAACAUGAGCGCCUAUGUCAUUGUCAAACAGCACCGCGGUCCCUUAGUGCCUAGAAAGGAUGUCAAACCUGGGGAUGACAGCCCAGAGUCCCUUACGAACAGCAGUGUAAUGUAUGAACUAUCUAAGUA